UAGAAACAGACCUGGAUAUUCUUCUAUAUUUUCUAGGCUCUCUGUGAGGACUACAAGGCUGAGAAGACGGUCUAGAACGGUUAAUGGGCAUUUUAGUAACAGAUAGCUCUCGAAUUCUUCCACGCCUAUUGCAUCCCGGAUCUUCGUUAACGAUUUUAAUACCGCCUCUUGAUGCGGUACCUGGGCCAGCCGGGAGGCCAAGGCUAUUGUUACCUCCUUGACAAAUCGGGAAUCAGGCGAUGGACUACUCGACGAUGGAAACAGGAGGGAGGGUACGCUUAAGAUCACACCGGUGGUAACGUUCGUCUGAAAGGAAUUCUGUACUUCCGAACGAUUUAGACCAUCCUCAAGAAUCUGCAAGAGAACGAUCAAUACAAUUGCGUUUAGAUAUCGAUCCAUGAUAAUAUACAAAAUAGUGGGGAGAUUGCAAGGUCAGAAAUUGCUUGUGCAUGGACCUGUCUAUCUAUCUGAUAUGUUUGCC